rnacentral:rRNA from 1 species
CGGUAACAGGAAGCAGCUUGCUGCUUUGCUGACGAGUGGCGGACGGGUGAGUAAUGUCUGGGAAACUGCCUGAUGGAGGGGGAUAACUACUGGAAACGGUAGCUAAUACCGCAUAACGUCGCAAGACCAAAGUGGGGGACCUUCGGGCCUCAUGCCAUCAGAUGUGCCCAGAUGGGAUUAGCUAGUAGGUGGGGUAACGGCUCACCUAGGCGACGAUCCCUAGCUGGUCUGAGAGGAUGACCAGCCACACUGGAACUGAGACACGGUCCAGACUCCUACGGGAGGCAGCAGUGGGGAAUAUUGCACAAUGGGCGCAAGCCUGAUGCAGCCAUGCCGCGUGUAUGAAGAAGGCCUUCGGGUUGUAAAGUACUUUCAGCGAGGAGGAAGGGGUUAAGGUUAAUAACCUUGGCCAUUGACGUUACUCGCAUAAGAAGCACCGGCUAACUCCGUCCCCGCAGCCGCGGUAAUACGGAGGGUGCAAGCGUUAAUCGGAAUUACUGGGCGUAAAGCGCACGCAGGCGGUCUGUCAAGUCGGAUGUGAAAUCCCCGGGCUCAACCUGGGAACUGCAUCCGAAACUGGCAGGCUUGAGUCUCGUAGAGGGGGGUAGAAUUCCAGGUGUAGCGGUGAAAUGCGUAGAGAUCUGGAGGAAUACCGGUGGCGAAGGCGGCCCCCUGGACGAAGACUGACGCUCAGGUGCGAAAGCGUGGGG